UGCGGGAUAGAGCAGUGGCAGCUCAACAGCCUCAUACGCUGUGUGUCGGUGAGUUCGAUUCUCCCUCCCGCUACCAA
rnacentral:tRNA from 1 species